UACGGAGGGUGCAAGCGUUAUCCGGAUUUACUGGGUUUAAAGGGUGCGUAGGUGGGCAGGUAAGUCAGUGGUGAAAUCUCCGGGCUUAACUCGGAAACUGCCAUUGAUACUAUCUGUCUUGAAUAUCCUGGAGGUAAGCGGAAUAUGUCAUGUAGCGGUGAAAUGCUUAGAUAUGACAUAGAACACCCAUUGCGAAGGCAGCUUACUACGGGAUUAUUGACACUGAGGCACGAAAGCGUGGGGGAUCAAACAGGA
rnacentral:rRNA from 1 species